rnacentral:rRNA from 1 species
CUGGGGGGGGUGCCCUAUACAUGCAAGUCGAGCGAACGGACGAGAAGCUUGCUUCUCUGAUGUUAGCGGCGGACGGGUGAGUAACACGUGGAUAACCUACCUAUAACACUGGGAUAACUUCGGGAAACCGGAGCUAAUACCGGAUAAUAUUUUGAACCGCAUGGUUCAAAAGUGAAAGACGGUCUUGCUGUCACUUAUAGAUGGAUCCGCGCUGCAUUAGCUAGUUGGUAAGGUAACGGCUUACCAAGGCAACGAUGCAUAGCCGACCUGAGAGGGUGAUCGGCCACACUGGAACUGAGACACGGUCCAGACUCCUACGGGAGGCAGCAGUAGGGAAUCUUCCGCAAUGGGCGAAAGCCUGACGGAGCAACGCCGCGUGAGUGAUGAAGGUCUUCGGAUCGUAAAACUCUGUUAUUAGGGAAGAACAUAUGUGUAAGUAACUGUGCACAUCUUGACGGUACCUAAUCAGAAAGCCACGGCUAACUACGUGCCAGCAGCCGCGGUAAUACGUAGGUGGCAAGCGUUAUCCGGAAUUAUUGGGCGUAAAGCGCGCGUAGGCGGUUUUUUAAGUCUGAUGUGAAAGCCCACGGCUCAACCGUGGAGGGUCAUUGGAAACUGGAAAACUUGAGUGCAGAAGAGGAAAGUGGAAUUCCAUGUGUAGCGGUGAAAUGCGCAGAGAUAUGGAGGAACACCAGUGGCGAAGGCGACUUUCUGGUCUGUAACUGACGCUGAUGUGCGAAAGCGUGCCGAUCAAACAGGAUUAGAUACCCUGGUAGUCCACGCCGUAAACGAUGAGUGCUAAGUGUUAGGGGGUUUCCGCCCCUUAGUGCUGCAGCUAACGCAUUAAGCACUCCGCCUGGGGAGUACGACCGCAAGGUUGAAACUCAAAGGAAUUGACGGGGACCCGCACAAGCGGUGGAGCAUGUGGUUUAAUUCGAAGCAACGCGAAGAACCUUACCAAAUCUUGACAUCCUUUGACAACUCUAGAGAUAGAGCCUUCCCCUUCGGGGGACAAAGUGACAGGUGGUGCAUGGUUGUCGUCAGCUCGUGUCGUGAGAUGUUGGGUUAAGUCCCGCAACGAGCGCAACCCUUAAGCUUAGUUGCCAUCAUUAAGUUGGGCACUCUAAGUUGACUGCCGGUGACAAACCGGAGGAAGGUGGGGAUGACGUCAAAUCAUCAUGCCCCUUAUGAUUUGGGCUACACACGUGCUACAAUGGACAAUACAAAGGGCAGCGAAACCGCGAGGUCAAGCAAAUCCCAUAAAGUUGUUCUCAGUUCGGAUUGUAGUCUGCAACUCGACUACAUGAAGCUGGAAUCGCUAGUAAUCGUAGAUCAGCAUGCUACGGUGAAUACGUUCCCGGGUCUUGUACACUUCAAAG